GACGAACGCUGACGGUGUGCUUUAGGCAUGCAAGUCGAACGAGAAAGCCCUUCGGGGUGAGUAAAGUGGCGAACGGGUGAGUAACACGUGGGCAACCUGCCCCUCGCAGGGGGACAACCGGAGGAAACUCCGGCUAAUACCCCGUACGUUCUCAGGGUCGCAUGGCCCUGGGAGGAAAGGUAGCUUCGGCCAUCCGGCGAGGGAUGGGCCCGCGGUGCAUUAGCUAGUUGGUGGGGUAACGGCUCACCAAGGCGACGAUGCAUAGCUGGUCUGAGAGGAUGAUCAGCCACACUGGGACUGAGACACGGCCCAGACUCCUACGGGAGGCAGCAGCCAGGAAUCUUGGGCAAUGGGCGAAAGCCUGACCCAGCAACACCGUGUGAGCGAUGAAGGCCUUCGGGUCGUAAAGCUCUGUUGAUAGGGACGAAGGGCGAAGGGUUAAUAGCCCCUAGCCUGACGGUACCUUUCGAGGAAGCCCCGGCUAACUACGUGCCAGCCGCCGCGGUAAUAC
rnacentral:rRNA from 1 species